UACGGGGGGGGGCAAGCGUUGUUCGGAAUUACUGGGCGUAAAGGGCGCGUAGGCGGCUUCGCAAGUCCGGGGUGAAAGCCCCCAGCUCAACUGGGGGAAGUGCCUUGGAUACUGCGGGGCUCGAGGGAGGUAGGGGUGCGUGGAACUUCCGGUGGAGCGGUGAAAUGCGUUGAUAUCGGAAGGAACGCCGGUGGCGAAAGCGACGCACUGGACCUUCACUGACGCUGAGGCGCGAAAGCCAGGGGAGCAAACGGG
rnacentral:rRNA from 1 species